AGUGAACGCUGGCGGUAGGCCUAACACAUGCAAGUCGAACGGCAGCACAGUAAGAGCUUGCUCUUACGGGUGGCGAGUGGCGGACGGGUGAGGAAUACAUCGGAAUCUACUUUUUCGUGGGGGAUAACGUAGGGAAACUUACGCUAAUACCGCAUACGACCUACGGUUGAAAGCAGGGGAUCUUCGGACCUUGCGCGAUUGAAUGAGCCGAUGUCGGAUUAGCUAGUUGGCGGGGUAAAGGCCCACCAAGGCGACGAUCCGUAGCUGGUCUGAGAGGAUGAUCAGCCACACUGGAACUGAGACACGGUCCAGACUCCUACGGGAGGCAGCAGUGGGGAAUAUUGGACAAUGGGCGCAAGCCUGAUCCAGCCAUACCGCGUGGGCGAAGAAGGCCUUCGGGUUGUAAAGCCCUUUUGUUGGGAAAGAAAAGCAGCAGGUUAAUACCCCGCUGUUCUGACGGUACCCAAAGAAUAAGCACCGGCUAACUUCGUG
rnacentral:rRNA from 1 species